AGCCAUUGUAGAAAUACCAAACUCAGAUGAAGACAAAAGGGUGUGAUUCACUUGGCUGGGAAAAAAUUCCCUAGCACCUCUGAUUUGGACAGACAGAACUUGGCAGAAGAUCAAGGGAUUCCUUCAUCUCUCUUGGAGGCUUCCUGAGAGCACAGAUGGAUGAGCAAGACUCAGCUGGCCCUGAAGCAGGAAGAGGCCAGGCCAUGGAAACGGGGAGCAGUGGGAGAUUCUGGG